GCUUUCGUCGUUCAAUGGAUAGGACUUCGGCCUCCGGAGCCGACGAUUCGGGUUCGAGUCCCGACGGAAGCGCCA
rnacentral:tRNA from 1 species